AAUCGUGACUCGGGUUACCGCGGCUGCUGGCACGGAGUUAGCCGGUGCUUCUUCUGUGAGUGAUGUCCUUCCUGCCGGCUAUUAACCCGCAGGCCUUCUUCCUCACUGAAAGUGCUUUACAACCCGAAGGCCUUCUUCACACACGCGGCAUGGCUGGAUCAGGGUUGCCCCCAUUGUCCAAUAUUCCCCACUGCUGCCUCCCGUAGGAGUCUGGGCCGUGUCUCAGUCCCAGUGUGGCUGAUCAUCCUCUCAGACCAGCUACGGAUCGUCGCCUUGGUGAGCCGUUACCUCACCAACCAGCUAAUCCGACAUAGGCUCAUCCGAUAGCGCGAGGCCCGAAGGUCCCCCGCUUUCCCCCGUAGGGCGUAUGCGGUAUUAGCCUGGGUUUCCCCAGGUUAUCCCCCACUACCGGGCAGAUUCCUAUGCAUUACUCACCCGUCCGCCGCUCGCCACCAGGGAGCAAGCUCCCCGUGCUGCCGCUCGACUUGCAUGUGUUAGGCCUGCCGCCAGCGUUCAAU
rnacentral:rRNA from 1 species